UGAAGCAUUAAAUGGUCAUUGGCGUGUCCUAAGUAAUAAUCAUAGUUAAUUGAAGUACAGUAAAUUAUAACUCAUUAAAGCAAUACAAUUAAGCUGUAACUGACGGUAUUUUGUCAACUAUAUCCAAUUAUGCACCAAAUAACACCUAUUGGUGUAACUAAAAUAAUCCCUAAGAUCUGAAGAAAAAUUCAGCAAAAUAAACAAGAGAAUAUUGUUUGAGCGCUUUGUAUAAACCACCUUUGCAUCGUCAUAUACACGGAUAAUAUGGAUAUGACGAUUGCCGAACAUAAUCGAGUUACUGAGACCGAGGUCAUAUAGGAAGACAGAAACUAAGGUGAAUUAUUAAACAUGUCGUUUGUUUUAAAAUAUUACAUCAAUUCAUAAAUGUCAAAAAGUUCUAUAAGUGUAAGAAAGUAAUAAUUACGCAAAUGUGCCACUCUAAUGAAAUUUUGAUUGUGAAUUUUCUAUAAAAUUCGCAUUCAAAAUGGUUUACAAAUCUGACACAUGCUCAGUGCCUCUCUAUCGCUUUUUUCCGAACUGGUGACCUCCGAGGUCAAUGCACAUCAGGAGAUUAUGAGCAGGAUUGAUUGAUUGAAUAUUGUUUAAUGUCCCUCUCGAGAAUAUUUGACUCAUAGGGAAAUAUCGCCACUGCCAGUGCAGGAAUUACUGACAGAAUGACAAUAAUUCAUGAAUCAACAUUUUUUGCUGAUUUGACAGACAGACUGGUUGACAGAGGAUGUUUACUCCUCCUAGGCACCUGAUCCCACCUCUGGUAUAUCCAGGGGUCUAUGUUUGUCCAACUCUCUAUUUUUUAUCACUUAUAGGAGUUAUGAAAUUGACCACUGUUGCGUUGUCUUCACCUCAUUUAUUGUACUUCAGAUUCACCCUGAUUCUAUGAAGUAUUAUAUAUUCGAUCACAAAUAUGUUAAAUAUUUGUUCUUUUAUUUUACAAUUUAUUUGCUGUCAGUUACAGUUUGUAUUGCUUUAAAAAUAUAUAUUAUUUAUGAAAUUCCCCUUGCGCUAAAUGCCCAGUAACAUCUAAAUAUUAAAUGGGGGAUAUAUGAGGAUAACUACAGGAUACGCCCAUUCAUUUAACGCCAAUAUAAUGCCAGCCGACAUAAACUGCAUUGUGAUGUCAAAUUUAGCCUCGACUUUUUUUUCCUCUUUCAAAUCAAACAAUUAUAAACAACAACAAUACCUCCCAUUCACAAUUUAAAAGACAAUAAAAAAAACAAAAUUAACCAAAUUCAAAGUAGUAAAAAAGUAAGCGUAAAUAUAUUGUAUAUUUUCACUUAAAGAAACUCAUGAACUCGAUAUAUUUAUAGUCGUAUUACAAUUUUCCUAUUGGAUGAUUGACUAAAGACUGUAACAAUGAUAAUUAUACCAUUCAUUUUUAGGAAACUGGGUGUUUGCAUUACAAAUUGAACGUCAGUCUUCUAUUUUUGGCAUUCAAAAUUAAAACACAAGUAAUUGUAGAAGCAACUAUUUAACAAAGCAAUAUGGCGGCGCCCAUAUGGAUCAUAAAAUUUCAGUGAACAUAUCUAGAGAUCAUCUUUAUUCAUUUGCUGAUAUACUCAUCUUUUCUUUUACAUAAUUGUUACCUUUAGUGCUUUGUUUGCGGAUUGGCCUUUGGCCUGUUCUUGCUAUAAUCUGAGAGUUUGAGAUUAAAAAAUUGCCCAAUUCAAACCAAUCAUGCUUCAGUUCGAUAUUAUUUCAAAAUGUCAACACAUGUGAACACGUAUCCAAUGCAAUGUUGCUUACUGUUGUUCACAGGAGUUUCAGCAGCAUAUUAAAUGAUUGAAGAUCAUGGCAUGAUUUUGUGUUGUUGACUAAACUUGGAAGACACUUCCUGUAAAGUAUGUAAAAUAAUUGACAAAGCAGUUUCAACAAUUUUGUAUUACCCCAUUUGACUUUGACCUCAAGGACACAACCAUAAUGGAUAUUUGGGUUAUUAUCAACAAUUUAGUACCAAAUUUGAAAUCAUACUAUAAAGCAAGGACAACAAAGAUUUAGUGUGGGUAACGGAGAAACAGAUGGACAUUGUAUCAAAACCUACGUCAAUCUUUCUUAUCAUUGUGAACAAUACUUGAAUUAUUGUAAAAUGUGUGUUCAAUGAACAAAUGUUACCAACUGUGGCCAUGAACUUCCUCAUAUUUUAAUCUCACUAAGAUGAAUGUGCCCAGGAAGUUUCUGAUCAUCAAACAAAACGGUUCUAUACAAAUGUGCAGUUUGAUACAUUAUACAUGAUGCAUUGUGCCUGACAUCCAUUGAAAUAAUGAAAGUUUUGCUUUCAAAUUGCAGACUAGAAGACCAUAGUUACAGUACUACUUCCUGUCAUCUUGUCAAUUUUUGAUGCUGGGGGUUCCAGUGCACUGUUGAUGGACUUGGCAGCCAAUGAAAAAUCAGUCCACUCAGACUUUUUUAAUGAGUUUGAAGAUCUGUUUGACGAUGAAGACCUGUCGUGAUUUUACUACAGUAGUGGAAAAAAAUU